rnacentral:rRNA from 1 species
AUUGAACGCUGGCGGCAUGCCUUACACAUGCAAGUCGAACGGCAGCACGGGUGCUUGCCCCUGGUGGCGAGUGGCGAACGGGUGAGUAAUACAUCGGAACAUGUCCUGUAGCGGGGGAUAGCCCGGCGAAAGCCGGAUUAAUACCGCAUACGAUCUACGGAUGAAAGCGGGGGACCUUCGGGCCUCGCGCUAUAGGGUUGGCCGAUGGCUGAUUAGCUAGUUGGUGGGGUAAAGGCCUACCAAGGCGACGAUCAGUAGCUGGUCUGAGAGGACGACCAGCCACACUGGGACUGAGACAAGGCCCAGACUCCUACGGGAGGCAGCAGUGGGGAAUUUUGGACAAUGGGCGAAAGCCUGAUCCAGCAAUGCCGCGUGUGUGAAGAAGGCCUUCGGGUUGUAAAGCACUUUUGUCCGGAAAGAAAUCCUUGGCCCUAAUACGGUCGGGGGAUGACGGUACCGGAAGAAUAAGCACCGGCUAACUACGUG